rnacentral:misc_RNA from 2 species
AACGCACCUUGCGCCCCUUGGAUAUUCCGAGGGGCAUGCCUGUUUGAGUAUCAUGAACACCUCAACUCUCAUGGUUUGCCAUGACGAGCUUGGAACUUGGGGGUUUUGCUGGCCUGUGGUCGGCUCCUCUCAAAUGAAUCAGCCUCCCAGUGUUUGGUGGCAUCACGGGUGUGAUAACUAUCUACGCUCGCGGUUGUCCACCAGGUAACCUUUGGUGACAAAGGUUCGCUGGAGCUCACAGAUGUCUCUCCUCAGCGAGGACAGCUUUUUAACGUUCGAUCUCAAAUCAGGUAGGACUACCCGCUGAACUUAA